GCUUGCUUUCUUGCUGACGAGUGGCGGACGGGUGAGUAAUGCUUGGGAAUCUGGCUUACGGAGGGGGAUAACUGCGGGAAACUGCAGCUAAUACCGCGUAAUAUCUUAGGAUUAAAGGGGGCGUUUGCUCCUGCCGUGAGAUGAGCCCAAGUGGGAUUAGGUAGUUGGUGAGGUAAUGGCUCACCAAGCCUGCGAUCUCUAGCUGGUCUGAGAGGAUGGCCAGCCACACCGGGACUGAGACACGGCCCGGACUCCUACGGGAGGCAGCAGUGGGGAAUAUUGCGCAAUGGGGGGAACCCUGACGCAGCCAUGCCGCGUGAAUGAAGAAGGCCUUCGGGUUGUAAAGUUCUUUCGGUGACGAGGAAGGUGCUUAGGUUAAUACCCUAAGCAAUUGACGUUAAUCACAGAAGAAGCACCGGCUAACUCCGUGCCAGCAGCCGCGGUAAUACGGAGGGUGCGAGCGUUAAUCGGAAUAACUGGGCGUAAAGGGCACGCAGGCGGAUUUUUAAGUGAGGUGUGAAAGCCCCGGGCUUAACCUGGGAAUAGCAUUUCAGACUGGGAAUCUAGAGUACUUUAGGGAGGGGUAGAAUUCCACGUGUAGCGGUGAAAUGCGUAGAGAUGUGGAGGAAUACCGAAGGCGAAGGCAGCCCCUUGGGAAUGUACUGACGCUCAUGUGCGAAAGCGUGGGGAGCAAACAGGAUUAGAUACCC
rnacentral:rRNA from 1 species